AGAAUCAACGCUGGCGGCGUGCCUAACACAUGCAAGUCGAACGAGAAAGUGGAGCAAUCCACGAGUAAAGUGGCGCACGGGUGAGUAACACGUGACUAACCUACCCUUGAGUGGGGAAUAACUGAGGGAAACCUUAGCUAAUACCGCAUAAUACCUACGGGUCAAAGGAGCAAUUCGCUUAAGGAGGGGGUCGCGGCAGAUUAGCUAGUUGGCGGGGUAAUGGCCCACCAAGGCAGUGAUCUGUA
rnacentral:rRNA from 1 species